rnacentral:rRNA from 1 species
AGAGUUUGAUCCUGGCUCAGAACGAACGCUGGCGGCAGGCUUAACACAUGCAAGUCGAACGCACCUUCGGGUGAGUGGCAGACGGGUGAGUAACGCGUGGGAACGUGCCCUUCAGUUCGGAAUAACCCAGGGAAACUUGGGCUAAUACCGGAUACGUGCGAGAGCAGAAGGAUUUAUCGCUGAAGGAUCGGCCCGCGUCUGAUUAGCUAGUUGGUGGGGUAAUGGCCCACCAAGGCGACGAUCAGUAGCUGGUCUGAGAGGAUGAUCAGCCACAUUGGGACUGAGACACGGCCCAAACUCCUACGGGAGGCAGCAGUGGGGAAUAUUGGACAAUGGGCGCAAGCCUGAUCCAGCCAUGCCGCGUGAGUGAUGAAGGCCUUAGGGUUGUAAAGCUCUUUCGGCGGGGACGAUAAUGACGGUACCCGCAGAAGAAGCCCCGGCUAACUUCGUGCCAGCAGCCGCGGUAAUACGAAGGGGGCUAGCGUUGUUCGGAAUCACUGGGCGUAAAGGGCGCGUAGGCGGCUUGAUAAGUCGGGGGUGAAAGCCUGUGGCUCAACCACAGAAUUGCCUUCGAUACUGUCUGGCUUGAGACCGGAAGAGGUAAGUGGAACUGCGAGUGUAGAGGUGAAAUUCGUAGAUAUUCGCAAGAACACCAGUGGCGAAGGCGGCUUACUGGUCCGGUUCUGACGCUGAGGCGCGAAAGCGUGGGGAGCAAACAGGAUUAGAUACCCUAGUAGUCC